rnacentral:rRNA from 1 species
GUGUCAGCAGCCGCGGUAAGACAGAGGGUGCAAACGUUGUUCGGAAUUACUGGGCGUAAAGCGCGUGUAGGCGGCCCUGCAAGUCGGAUGUGAAAUCCCACGGCUCAACCGUGGAAGUGCAUUCGAAACUGCAGGGCUAGAGUCCUGGAGAGGAAGGUGGAAUGCUUGGUGUAGAGGUGAAAUUCGUAGAUAUCAAGCGGAACACCGGUGGCGAAGGCGGCCUUCUGGACAGUGACUGACGCUGAGACGCGAAAGCGUGGGGAGCAAACAGGAGGAUAUACCAGCGGAUUAC